GCCCUAGUGGCGCAAUGGAUAGCGCGUUGGACUUCUAAUCCAAAGGUUGUGGGUUCGAGUCCCACCUGGGGUG
rfam:Hammondia hammondi strain H.H.34 contig00682, whole genome shotgun sequence.